rnacentral:rRNA from 1 species
AUUGAACGCUGGCGGCAGGCCUAACACAUGCAAGUCGCACGAGUGGCGGACGGGUGAGUGAUGUCUGGGAAACUGCCUGAUGGAGGGGGAUAACUACUGGAAACGGUAGCUAAUAACGCCUACCAUCGGCUGAGCCCAGAUUGGAUUAGCUAGUAGGUGGGGUAAAGGCUCACCUAGGCGACGAUCCCUAGCUGGUCUGAGAGGGUGAGCAGCCACACUGGAACUGAGACACGGUCCAAGCUCCUACACGAGGCAGCAGUAGGAAAUAUUGCACAAUGGGCGCCAGCCUGAUGCAGCCAGGCCGCGUGUAUUAAGAAGGCCUUCGGGUUGUAAAGUACUUUCAGCGGGGAGGCGUUACCCGCAGAAGAAGCACCGGCUAACUCCGUGCCAACAGCCGCGGUAAUAC